AAUGGCUGUGGGGAAAGCUGUCACCUCUGAUAACUCUGUAUGCCAUGAACCUGUUGUUGAUGAUUUUAGUUGCCAUGUAGAACAGCCUGCUAAGUUACAAUAUUGUAUCUGGAAGCAAGAUGUGUCCAACGGGAAGAUGGCUCAGUCAUGUCUUCUUGAAAUUCCUGAGCAUGUUGUGGCAAGUCGCUGGCUCCAUGGAGCAAGGUUUGUAGAUUUGGUUGACUGGGAAAGGGAAGUCAGGUAUGAAUGUGAAGUUCAUCAUACCGAAAAGGGUCAGAUGUUCUUAGGGCGUGGUUGGUACAAAUUUGCCAAGGAAAGGUGCCUGCUUGAUGGAGA